CCUACGGGUGGCAGCAGUGGGGAAUAUUGCACAAUGGGGGAAACCCUGAUGCAGCGACGCCGCGUGAGUGAAGAAGUAAUUCGUUACGUAAAGCUCUAUCAGCAGGGAAGAAAAUGACGGUACCUGAGUAAGAAGCCCCGGCUAACUACGUGCCAGCAGCCGCGGUAAUACGUAGGGGGCAAGCGUUAUCCGGAUUUACCGGGUGUAAAGGGGGCGUAGGCGGUGCGCUAAGUCUGUAGUGAAACGCCGCGGCUUAACUGCGGAACGGCAGUGGAAACUGGGGGACUUGAGUGCGGGGGGGGUAAGCGGAAUUCGUGGUGUAGCGGUGAAAUGCGUAGAUAUGAGGAAGAACACCGGUGGCGAAGGCAGCUUACUGGAGCGUAACUGACGUUGAGGCUCGAAGGCGUGGGGAGCGAACAGGAUUAGAUACCCGAGUAGUC
rnacentral:rRNA from 1 species